CCCUUAGAUGUUCUGGGCCGCACGCGCGCUACACUGAUGCAUUCAACGAGUCUAAAACCUGCUCUGAUAGGGGUGGGUAAUCUUUUGAAUGUGCAUCGUGAUUGGGAUAGAUGAUUGCAAUUUUUCAUCUUCAACGAGGAAUGCCUAGUAAACGCAAGUCAUCAACUUGCAUUGAUUACGUCCCUGCCCUUUGUACACACCGCCCGUCGCUCCUACCGAUUGAAUGAUCCGAUGAAUAUCAUGGAUUGAGGAUGCAAGUAGGUUCACCUAUCUUCAUCUUCGAGAAGUGAAGUAAAUCUUAUCAUUUAGAGGAAGGAGAAGUCGUAACA
rnacentral:rRNA from 1 species